UCCUCGUUAGUAUAGUGGUGAGUAUCCCCGCCUGUCACGCGGGAGACCGGGGUUCGAUUCCCUGACGGGGAG
rfam:Xiphophorus maculatus strain JP 163 A Contig621.3, whole genome shotgun sequence.